AGAGUUUGAUUCUGGCUCAGGACGAACGCUGGCGGCAUGCCUAACACAUGCAAGUCGAACGGAGUAAUGACUUUGGUUAUACUUAGUGGCGAACGGGUGAGUAACACGUGAAUAAUCUGCCCUGUACGAUGGGAUAACAGCUGGAAACGGCUGCUAAUACCGUAUAUGACCACGCCGAGGCAUCUCGGAGGGGUGAAAGCGCUUAAGCGGUACAGGAUGAGUCGCGUCCAAUUAGCUAGUUGGUGAGGUAACGGCCCACCAAGGCGACGAUUGGUAGCCGACCUGAGAGGGUGAUCGGCCACACUGGAACUGAGACACGGUCCAGACUCCUACGGGAGGCAGCAGUGGGGAAUAUUGGGCAAUGGAGGAAACUCUUUAACCCCCAGCAAUGCCGCGUGAGUGAUGAAGGUCCUCGGAUUGUAAAGCUCUUUGAUUGGGGACGAAUAAAUGACGGUACCCAAGGAACAAGCCCCGGCUAACUAUGUGCCAGCCGCUGC
rnacentral:rRNA from 1 species